CACAACAAUGUAAUGUGAUCAUAUUUGCUAGAAACAGAAUAAAGAGACUUUGGUUUUCUUUUUCUUUUCCCCAUUUUUGUACAGGUUACAGGAAAGCGUGUGAUGGAUACUUAUCUAAGAGAAGUGCAAUCUUCCUCUAUCUCAGCAAGCUCUAACAAGGUUCUAAGCAUGUUGGAGAAGGUGGAGAAUUUAUUCAGUACAUCUGCAAAAAUAACAAAAGACAAGCUAUGAACUCUUUGAGACCUUCUCCCCAUGAAUUCUGAUCGCAAUUUUUUUUUACUUUUCGCUUCAUUUAGUUUAUGAGAAUUGUUGGGAUUAAGGUGUCUCAACUUUAGAGUCCUAACAUGUCAAAUUAAUUAAUUGUUGUCUAAUUGAUUUAUCUAAGAUAUAAACUUCCUAAGUUGUCAUUCACUCUGUGGGAACUUUUGGUGAGGUAGCAUCCUACAUGGCAGGUGAUGAAAUGGCAUAUUCCUUAUUUUCUAGGAAGUUGGUACCCACUUGGAAGAUGCUAUGUUGGAAUGGAAAUUGAUUUGGUAUUGUUUUGUGUUGACUAAAGAGUCUAGGUUUUCAGCUUCUAUUAUGUAUGCAAGUUGUAUUUUAGCUAUUGGCAUUUAUGGUGGAGUUCACUUGUACAAGUGGUGUGAGGUAAGGAAGGUGCCUAUUCUUGGUCAUAGUAAAUUCUAUGUUGUCUUUACAUUGUAUUUGGCAAGAUGACUAUUAUUGAUGAGAUAGGUGUCGUUGCCUUAGAAGUUGCUAUGAGCAACGUGUCAUGGGAUUAGCAAGAUAUUGUUUAUGACACAACUUACCUCUUAGGUGUUGAAGAUGGUUUUCGAAACCAUGGGCACCUAACUCUUUGUGUUGAGCUCUAUUUAUAUGUUGAUGCCUUAGCUGAUUUAUGAGAGGAGAGGAGUUCAUUAUUACAGGGUUAUGCUGUCGGAUUUUCUCCAGGAUGGAGCAUGAUGUAAAUCUCCAUGUAAAGGCUUAGAGCCUGUAACUUUAUUGUAACUUGUUGUUGAAUAAUGCAUUGGCUCAAUGUUUUGGAGAGUGGGGAUUUUUACCUGAAAGGGUUUUCCCCAUGUA